rnacentral:rRNA from 1 species
UUNAAGGACUGGUAGGAGGGCNCAAUACAUGCGANUCGAACGGAAACCUUAGGGUUUUAGUGGCGAACGGGUGAGUAACACGUAAGCAACCUGCCUUUAAGACGUGGAUAACAAUUGGAAACAGUUGCUAAGACAGGAUAGGAAAUUAAGAGGCAUCUUUUAAUUUUUAAAAGACCUUUUUCGAAAGGUAUACUUAAAGAGGGGCUUGCGCCACAUUAGUUAGUUGGUAAGGUAAAAGCUUACCAAGACGAUGAUGUGUAGCUGGACUGAGAGGUCGAACAGCCACAUUGGGACUGAGACACGGCCCAAACUCCUACGGGAGGCAGCAGUAAGGAAUUUUUGGCAAUGGAGGAAACUCUGACCGAGCGACGCCGCGUGAACAAUGAAGUACUUCGGUAUGUAAAGUUCUUUUAUUGAAAAAGAAAAAAUAGUGGAAAAACUAUCUUGACAUUAUUCAAUGAAUAAGCCCCGGCUAAUUAUGUGCCAGCAGCCGCGGUAAUACAUAAGGGGCGAGCGUUAUCCGGAAUUAUUGGGCGUAAAGGGUGCGUAG